AGAUUUGAAUAUUUUAUAUUAAUAUGAUAGUAAGGAUGCAUUUAUCCAAUAAGUAAAUUAAAGUAAUUGAUUCAAUCACGUCAUACCAUAAACGAUACUAGACCUACAAUGAUAUUUUAAUCAUGGCAGCCCUAAGCUCUGACACUUUCCUUACUUCCGUUCAUUUAAGUUUUUUUUUUAUUAGUAUUUUCUAUUAACAGCAUUCAUUUUCAAUGCCUAAAACUUGUUAUUAAAUCUCGAAAUUAUUAAUUAAGGUCAUAAAUACCAAAGUUACCUCAACUAUCAGUGUCACAGUGAAUAAAACCAUAAUAAGCAAAUAAAUGACAACCAUCUAACCGCCAUAUUGUAAAUAAAUAAGCUGUAUGGAGAAAGUUGACAAAGCAUUAUCACGACAGAAAUUUUAAUUGUACUGGAAAAGAUCGUCCUCGAGUGUGCUUUUUACGAUUCUCUAAAUAUCCUACCCAUUGCCAAUCGCAAGAACUGUACAAGACAAACGAAAUAGAAUUUCGGAUUAAAACACGAUCAUGUUCUUCACUUUUGUCAAAUUUUAUAAUCUUCAAUGAAUCUAGUGCCCUACGAUGACCUACGAGUCGUAUGACCUAAAGUUUGAACUGUAUAGAAACAAGGAUGUUUAAUUAAUGUGCCUAGUUCCUGUUCGAAUCGAUAUACCGAUCGAAAUGGGCUCAAAUAUGAAAUCUGUCACUCCUAGCAAGUAAACUGACAACUCUAUUGGAAUAGUCCCUGUUGCCUGACUUACAUGAACUGUUAACAAUGAAAAUGUAUUGAAAUUAUGCUGGAGAACCCCGCUUGCUGGAUUUGAUGAAUCUUUACACAACCUUAAAGACAAACAGACAAGUCUGAUGGCUGCCUAUAUAUACCCAUACCUAGUGUUUGGUGAUGUUUAAGCCGAGCGGAGCAAAUUUCCGUUUGCUGUUUCCAUGGACUUUUCCGAGUCUCCCGAUAAUCUCUAACAACAGAAUGGUUUCCUGAUACCUGGCCGUUAGUUCACCCAGCAGUCAGUUAAACUUAAGCCAAACGAACGAAAUAUCUAUGGUUAUUUUCAUGAUUCCUGUUUCUCCAUGUCUUACCACAAUUUUCAAUGUUCCGGAGAACUGACAGUGCCCCGCAGAGUCAUUACGUCUAGCCUCAAAAUACACACUAUGGAAUGCUUCUAUUUCUGAAAGAUUACGAAGGACCACACCUCUCCAGACUCCUGUUCAAUAAUUUUAUUACACAACUUUUGCUGUAACAAUGGCUGCUGUCUACUGCCACUUCAAAGUUCCUGUCCCACGGCUCUAUUUCUAGAAACCUGCACCCACAUCAGCAGUGGUCUACAUUGAAUACUACUUAUAGGGAAAAUGACACUCAAGAUCUUUUAUGUUAGGUAUCAAGGCGCAAGAAGAUGGAAUUAUAAUUGAUUAUUUUGAGAUGACACGUCUCAAAUAUGAAAUAAAUCCCCUAACAACGGCGAGAAGAAAACGAGUAAAGAAGACUGAUAAACUUAUUAAAUAGAAAAUAACUAAGGAUUUUUUUAUUAAGUAGACAAUAACUCUAAGGAUUUUUUUUGUACAUAAUAACAGUUUGAAAAAUAAACGUUAGAUUUUAUGACUUUUAUUUAAAACACAAUAAAAACAGAGUCCAAAAUUCAGUGUACCCACUCCGCUCUCACGGCAACAAAAUGUAGCCUGAAUGGCUACUUUUACUUUCUAUCCUUGGUGUCGAUUCCACUAAAAUAUAACCAUCGAGGUUACGCUGCAUACUGGACACGGCCUACCAAAAUGUAGCCUGAAUGGCUACUUUUACAUAGAUAUAUCUUAAAAAACCAUAGUAAACCAGGUAAAAUAAAUCCUGCGUCGCGGCUCACCAAAAUGUAGCCUGAAUGGCUACUUUUACUAUAUUUUAGAACCCUUGGUAUCCAAAAUGUGCCCCAAACGUGGUACACUUUAGAUCCCUCGGUCACGGCACCAAAAUGUACCUUCCCUACCUAUACCGCAAUCUACCUCAC